rnacentral:rRNA from 1 species
CUCGGUGAUCGAAGCGCCGUCGAACUACCCCUUUCCAUUCCGAACAGGGUCGUCAAAGGCGGCAGCGGGGACGAUAGUGCCACCGCAAGGUGGUGUGACAAUACCUCAUUGCCGAGG